rnacentral:lncRNA from 1 species
GGGAAAUGGAGCUGGAUCCUGGGAAAUGGAGCUGGAUCUCAGGAAACUCACUGAAUCCCAGGAAAUGGCCCCAUCCUGGGAAACAGCCCCAUCCCAGGAAACUCCCCUGAUCCUGGGAAAGCUGCCCCAAAUCCGCUCCUUUCCCGGGAAUGCUGCCCCAAAUCCACCCCUUUCACCCCCAAAAUCGUGGGAAAACUGCCCCAAAUCCACCCCUUUCACCCCCAAAAUCCCAGGAAAACUGCCCCAAAUCCACCCCUUUUGCCCCCAACUCCACCCCUUUUCCUUCAAAAUCCACCCCUUAUUCCCCCAAAUCUGCCCCUUUUACCCCUGUGUUCUGGGAGAACAAUCCCAAAAUCCCAUUUUUUUCCCCCAAAAUUCCCGUUUUCCCCGCAGAGAGCGGCUCCGUGUUUGCCUUCGGGGAGAACAAGCUGGGCCAGCUGGGGCUGGGGAACCAGACGGACGCCGUGCCCAGCCCCACCCAGAUCCUGUACAAUGGGCAGCCGAUCUCCAAGCUGGGCUGCGGGGCCGAGUUCAGCAUGGUCAUGGACUGCAAGGGGAACCUGUAUUCCUUCGGGUGCCCCGAGUACGGCCAGCUGGGGCACAAUUCCGACGGGAAGUUCAUCGCGCGGGCGCAGCGCAUCGAGUACGACUGCGAGCUGCUGCCGCGGCGCGUGGCGCUCUUCGUGGAGCGCACCAAGGACGGGCAGGUGCUGCCCGUGCCCAACGUCGUGGUCAGGGACGUGGCCUGCGGGGCCAACCACACGGUAUGGGAGUGCGGGAAUGGGAUAAUGGGAUUGGGAUAAUGGGAAAGGGUCAGGGACGUGGCCUGUGGGGCCAACCAUACAGUAUGGGAAUAGGGAAUAUGGGAUUGGGAUAAUGGGAAUGUGGGAAUGGGUCAGGCAUGUGGGACCAACCACAGGGUACAGGAAUAGGGGAAUGGGAUAAUGGGAUCAGGAUAAUGAGAAUGGGUCAGGGUCAUAGCCUGCUGGGCCAGCCACACAGUAUGGGAAGGUGGGAUUGGGAAUGUGGGAUUGGGAAUGUGGAAUUGGGUCAGGGACGUGGCCUUCGGGGCCAACCACACAAUACAGGAAUAUGGGAUCAGGAAUGUGGGAAUGGGAUAAUGGGAAUAGGUGCAGGAAUGGGAAUGGGAGAGGGCAGCUCUCAGCCCCUGCUCCCCCCUCCCCAGCUGGGGCUGCAUUCCCAGGAAU